ensembl:lncRNA
AUGAUGACACACAGCCUCCACGAUCUACCUGCGAGUGAACACACAGACGAGGAGACGGGUGUCUCUCCCUCCGUCUGUCCGUUAUGUGGCCGUGGUUUUGACGUUGCUCUGAUUCUGCCCUGCUCUCACACUCUAUGCGGCCGCUGUCUGACUGAAGGGGCGGGGCCUGGUCAACACGGGGGUGGGGUCAGGGGCGUGGUCUUCUCCUCUCAUCCAGUCGUUCUCUGUCCGAUCUGUCGUCACGGCGUUGAACUGCCCUGCUUUGACUGGUCAUCUGCUCUCACCUGUCUGCCCUUUGACCCCACAGUGACCUUUGACCCUCAAGAGAGAGGGAAGCAUGAAGAACGGAGAUGGGAGACGGAUGGCAGUGUGGAUCUUUCUGAAGAGGAAAUGGAACAAUCCAUUUCAGGUCUGCUCUUCACCCUCGAUUCGUCCUGCUCUGAUUCGUCACUUCACCUCUCAAGCUCCGCCCUCACCGUCACCUUCACGGGUCACAUGAUCUCAUCACAUGACCGCAGCGAUCAGGGCUCCUGUCCGCUUCCUCAGGUGUGCGGCAGCGUGGGCGUGUCCAGAGGACAGUAUUACUGGGAGGUGGACGUCUGCAACAGCGCCAUCUACAGGAUCGGAGUGAUUUCAUCAUGUGAUGGGCGUGGCUGGUGGUUGGAGAGGCGUGACUCUGCGUUUCACGCUGUGUUUGACGGACGGCGUGAGCUCCUCCCCUCUGUGCCUCCUCAGCUGAAGACAGUGGGCGUGUUUCUAAAUGUGGGCGGGGCUUCAAUCACCUUCCACAAUCCGGUAACUCAAGAGUUUCUCGCCGCCGUCCCCUCCCACUUCAGUGUCCCCCUCCGUCCUGCUCUUCAACUGGGGCAGGGAAGACUGAAGCUCCGCCCCAGCCUGCCGCCGCCCAAUCACGUCUUUCUCAGCCACAGCUCUGCCUAUCGGGGUCCAGGAGGGGUGGGAAGUGUGCGCUGGAGGCGGGAUGUACCGUUCGGGUCGGUGAGGGCCGUGAUUCAGAAGUUUGAGGAGAUGUCGGCCACGUCAGACUCGGAUUCGGGUCUCGUGUCCAGCGACCAAUAACAGUACAGAACGACCAAAACCUACAGUACUUUCUACACGGACAGCAUCGUAAGGUGUGCUCCCUAGAUAGACAGGAAUUAUGCUGCCUUCUAAGAUCUCGUCUUUUGGACAAAAUAUAAGAAGCAUCACAUAUAUAUUCUUCUUGAAAGAGUUUGCAAAAUGCAAACAGCGCCACCUGUAGGGAAGAAGCUCUUGAAGAAAAAAAAAAUGUAACUAAAUUUUUAAAACAAGCUCAUUUAUUGUCUUCUUGUGGUGAAUUUAUUUUUGUCUUAUAUGUUUGUAUUCAGUGGGACUAUAUUUUCUGUAUUAUAUUUAUUUAGUGAUUGCAAGAGAUUGUGUUUCCAAAAUGAUGCUCAUUAAACAAACACCUAAUUAAAAUACUGUACAAAAACCAAAAAUACUCACAGGAAAUAAAUACAAUUAUUUGGACA